rnacentral:rRNA from 1 species
AACGAACGCUGGCGGCAUGCCUAACACAUGCAAGUCGAACGAGACCUUCGGGUCUAGUGGCGCACGGGUGCGUAACGCGUGGGAACCUGCCCUUAGGUUCGGAAUAACUCCCCGAAGGGGGUGCUAAUACCGGAUAAUGUCUUCGGACCAAAGAUUUAUCGCCUUUGGAUGGGCCCGCGUUGGAUUGGCUAGUUGGUAGGGUAAAAGCCUACCAAGGCGACGAUCCAUAGCUGGUCUGAGAGGAUGAUCAGCCACACUGGGACUGAGACACGGCCCAGACUCCUACGGGAGGCAGCAGUGGGGAAUAUUGGACAAUGGGCGAAAGCCUGAUCCAGCAAUGCCGCGUGAGUGAUGAAGGCCUUAGGGUUGUAAAGCUCUUUUACCCGGGAUGAUAAUGACAGUACCGGGAGAAUAAGCUCCGGCUAACUCCGUG